CCUACGGGUGGCAGCAGUCGAGAAUCAUUCACAAUGGGGGAAACCCUGAUGGUGCGACGCCGCGUGGGGGAAUGAAGUUCUUCGGAUUGUAAACCCCUGUCAUGUGGGAGCAAAUUAAAAAGAUAGUACCACAAGAGGAAGAGACGGCUAACUCGGUUCCAGCAGCCGCGGUAAUGCAGAGGUCUCAAGCGUUGUUCGGAAUCACUGGGCGUAAGGGGUGCGUAGGCUGUUUGGUAAGUCGUGUGUGAAAGGCGCGGGCUCAACCCGCGGACGGCACAUGAUACUGCGAGACUAGAGUAAGGGAGGGGGAAGCGGAAUGCUCGGUGUAGCAGUGAAAUGCGUAGAUAUCGAGAGGAACACUCGUGGCGAAGGCGGGUUCCUGGACCUUAACUGACGCUGAGGCACGAAGGCCAGGGGAGCGAAAGGGAUUAGAUACCCGAGUAGUC
rnacentral:rRNA from 1 species